rnacentral:rRNA from 1 species
CAGCCGCCGCGGUAAUACGUAGGUGGUAAGCGUUGUCCGGAAUUAUUGGGCGUAAAGGGCUCGCAGGCGGUUUCUUAAGUCUGAUGUGAAAGCCCCCGGCUCAACCGGGGAGGGUCAUUGGAAACUGGGAAACUUGAGUGCAGAAGAGGAGAGUGGAAUUCCACGUGUAGCGGUGAAAUGCGUAGAGAUGUGGAGGAACACCAGUGGCGAAGGCGAUUCUCUGGUCUGUAACUGACGCUGAGGAGCGAAAGCGUGGGGAGCGAACAGGAUUAGAUACCCGGGUAGUCCCUGUCUCUUAUAC